UACGGAGGGUGCAAGCGUUAAUCGGAAUUACUGGGCGUAAAGCGCACGCAGGUGGCUGAGAAAGUCGAUUGUGAAAGCCCUGGGCUUAACCUGGGAAUUGCAGUCGAAACUACUCGGCUAGAGUAUGGGAGAGGGUAGUGGAAUUCCCGGUGUAGCGGUGAAAUGCGUAGAUAUCAGGAAGAACACCCGUGGCUAAGGCGGUUCUCUAGUACGGUACUGACGCUGAGACGCGAAAGCGUGGGGAGCGAACAGG
rnacentral:rRNA from 1 species